rnacentral:rRNA from 1 species
AUACGGAGGGUGCAAGCGUUAAUCGGAAUUACUGGGCGUAAAGCGUGCGUAGGUGGUUUGUUAAGUCAGAUGUGAAAGCCCCGGGCUCAACCUGGGAACUGCAUUUGAAACUGGCAUACUAGAGUAUAGGAGAGGAAAGUGGAAUUUCAGGUGUAGCGGUGAAAUGCGUAGAUAUCUGAAGGAACAUCAAUGGCGAAGGCAGCUUUCUGGACUAAUACUGACACUGAGGUACGAAAGCGUGGGUAGCAAACAGGAUUAGAUACCCUAGUAGUCC